GUGAGGAACGUGACAAUUCUGUAGCUACCUUUGUAGCCCAUAAUUCCAUUAGCAGGAUCGGUAGGGUUUAUAGGUGUGGGUCAAACAUCCUUUGUGCUGUCUAGAUUCUGUAAGCCUCCCCAAUAGAGCAGUAGAUCAUCCUUACCAAUGUUAGAACGAGGGUGCAGUCGUAGUCUUCUGUAUACAUCGCUCACAUCAAAUCACUUUGGUUGUAGCCUAAAGGUUAGUAGCAAUAGAUUUGGUUAGUCAGAUGCACGCUUUCUCCUAGUGGUAAAAUAUAAAUACGAUACUCUAGAUAACCUCCCGGAUGAAGUGCUCACCGAUAUCCGUGCACUUACGGAUCAGUUCCUGAUUGCAUUACCAAAUAACAAUAAUAGGCUAGGUCAUAAAUCACCUACUGUUCCUUUGGGCUCGAUAUUAAACCGGGUUGAUCUUGGUGAAGUGUUAAUUAGUAUGUAUCUGUGCGCUUGCGGAUAAUCUCAUUAUAAUCAAUAUUUAGGGUGCAGUUAAUUUAUACCAACAAUGUGGUUUGCUAAAGUGGUUUCCCUUCCAACACCAAUCUAAGUGUACUACUCUCAAGAUUCACCACAACGAGAUCUAAAAUAUUUAUCAUAAGCAUACGUGUGUAUAACCACCCUUUGAACAACUUUAGGAAUAGAGAGCAUGAGGGGGUUGAAGAUUUCAUGUGGAGUAAUGUUAGAGAGACUAAGUGAAUCAGGAUAUUUUUCGUACGACCAAGGAACUGAUGUGGUGUUCAUGAAGUAGCUUCAUUGGUCAUUGAAGCCUCCAUCAUUUUCUACUUCCAAGGGUGACUCGAUACGUAUGGCCAAAAAUUCCCUUGGUUCAUCUCUUGAAUUGAUCUUAUCUAAGGUCUUGUCCAUCCAUUUAGUGGCAAUAGCACAUAGGUUUUAAUGCUCUCUAGCCAUGGAUGUUGCUCUUUUUGAUCUUCUAUAUGGUCUUGAUGGUUCCUAUGCAUGGGAUAUCUAGAUGGAUUUCUAGAAUCAUUAGGAGGUUUAGGUGAAAGAUCAUAGAGCAGGCCAUAGUCAUCAAGGAUGGGUUUAGAGAUGGGUUCGUAUUAUAUAUCCAAUAUGGGCAUAGGAGGGGAGAGGAUAAGAGAAACUUCUAGAUGGCUUCACUCUCCUUCUAUGGCAUCACUUGACAUACCAUCCUUGAGUCUUUCGAGUUGUCCUUCAAAGAGAUUGUAUUUGAAAAUGUUUCUAAGAGAUCUUUUUUUAAGAUUCAAACUAUGUGUACUAAAAGAUCUCUUAUGAAGCUAGAAGUUUAAACUCCUCCCAAAAUCACUAGAACGGAUUUCAAAAGGUACAAUUACUUCUUCCCUUAGAAAAUUUUGGGGUACUGCUAGUUUGGGACGGAUAGUCAAAUCAUGGGAUUGGAAUGUUUGCAAAGUGGCUAUAAAAACUUCAUCUUCUAGUUUGGGGGAUGAUUCCUUCUCUACCUCUAGGAUUUCAUCAUGAAGGCUAGUGCAAGGAGUGUGUCCACUAUAGCUAAGGAUAAAGCUCACUUCACUAAUUGAUAAAGAAAGGAAAACUCCUCCAAAGACGGUAUUAUCAAUGCCAAUAUAAAGAUGUUGAAGAAGAAUAGAGUCUUGUAGGUCUAACUAAAUUUAUAGGAAGAUUAAAAGAUUCCCUAAGUGUAGCCAAAAGUUCAUUACCUACUUGAUCAGAAGAUAGGACCUUGGGUAUGUUGGGUAUUCUUAACGUCAUUACCAAAAGUAAACUUAGUUUUCUAAUUCUAAUAACGGCGCCAAAAAUGCCAAACCUGUCCCUCAUACCACUAAGCCAAGUUGUCAUCCCCAGCAUGACAUGAGAGACGCGGUAUUGAAAUAUGCAAUUGCUCAUCUAAAUAAAUAACAAAUGGGAUCUACAAGCGCACAGAUUAAUACCGAUGUAGCAUUUUAACCGGGAAGUAUUCCAGGUAUCGUUAUUUAUAUUUUUACCACUAGGAAGGGAUUGCUAAACAUCAAUGUUGAUUAUAGAAUGGAAUAUAGAAUUGAGUAUCUAUCAUUGCAUGUAUAAUUGAGAACAUUUAUCUAUCUCUUUCAUACAGGGAUAUGUGUCACAUAAAGGAUAUAUAAAGUAAUGAAUAGUGACAAAGAUAAUUAAUCUGAUCAGCAUAACUGAGCCACAUAAUAAAUAUGAUAAGCACCUCAAUUAGAUUUUCUAGCAAGUCAUUAGCAUGGAAUUAGGAUGAACUACAAGAAUAUUUCCUAAGUUUUUCUUAACUAUACAGUCUAGCAUAUCAUAGUUAGUGCAAUUAUACUUAGCAAUCAUUGUGAGAUAGGACUACGCCCAUAGUGAUAUUAGCAAGGAAUAUGAGAAACAUCGUAAUCACUCCCCUGUAAUAAUGUUGCUCUACCAGCCCAAUACACGAGAGGGGGACUAUAUAAUAAUCAAUUGAGCUCUCACUACCACGAACUACCCCGUGAUCUGGUAUAUAGGGUACAAUCGCAGAUAAAUACGGUAUAAGCACCACGCCUACACAAUAUCUAUCAUUUACCCAUGGAUCUGAUGGAUAAACGCUAUACGAUCCUAAACAUGUAUAUAAUUCCAAUCUAACUAAGCCAAGUAUAUAACUAUGAUAAACUAAGAACAAUAUAAUUGUGAAUACAAACAAGUAGAGCAAAGUCAUAAUCAAUAUAUUGAAGUAGAACAAAGUCAUAUUCAUAAUAUUGUAGAACAAAGAUGAACAAUUGAUGAACAAUAGAGAAUUACCAAGAAUCCUCUUGACAGAUCUGGAAACCAAUCGAAGAUUGACUCCUUCUAGUUCUAAUCCUAUGUAGCUAUGCUUAUCUAGAUGUCUAAUUGUUGUGGUGGCUCUAGGCUUGAUCAGAGGCUUCUUCUCCCUUGAUGAAUAAUGAAUUGGGGUUCAGAGGUCCUCUCCUCCAGGGGCCAGGGGGUCUGGUUUUAUAGUCCUUCCAAGUGAUUAUGGGCCAUUAGAUCAAACCGACAUUGAUUGAACGGUUAUCCUUGAUCCUUUAGGUCGGUGGAGCGUAAUCCCAAAAGAGAGUCCUGAUUGAACUCCAGCAGGGGGCGGGCACCCUGGUCCCUAGGGCGGGCGCCCUGGGCCAGGCUCCGUUCUACCUCCGCUUCGAUCUCGUGGCUUCUGGAGUCUUCUAGAUGUAAGAUAAUUGCGCAGCACGUUAAUAUCUCUAUGUAAUCCCAACGUGUCGGCCUUUCUUCCAUAUUUCCUGAUAACCCCCUGCAGUAAUAGACAAACACCAAAACUCGUGGAAUUCUGUUAGAUAAAACCCUAGGUCUGGAUGUUGGUUGCAUUUGGAUCCUUUUCUUUGUUUAUUUGAUAAUUAAAUUUGAUACUUAAGGACCGUCAACAAACUCCCCCAAGCUUACCUCUUGCUCAUCCCUGAGCAAGGAUAAUCUCAGCGAUGGAUCAGAAGUUGUUGUAAUGCCUUUAAAAGUUGACGGUACACAUGCUUAUAAAUAAGAUCUCAUCUCUGAGUUAAAGUAAACUGUCAAGACUUUAAAACUUAUUCAUUUUACCUUUCACCAUGGGACUUGUAACCGUCACUUCUAUCUUGAGUAGUUAAAAGAUAGAAUAGUCUAGUCAAGUGCCAUGUCUCUUAUUCUUGAUCAGCUAUAGCUCUGGAGUUUUUGCAGAUUUUCAAAUAAACUCAGAGAUUCCUUGUGUGAUUCUCUCAGAUCUCUCUUUUGUGGUAUUUUUGGAUCCUUACCAAGGCAGUGAUGGUAUAUGCCUUCUCUCAAAAUAUGUAGUAUUUGUGGUAUAAAGCAUAGUGACAUUGCCUUCUCUCUCACCCUACUCUAAUAAGGCUUUAAUAUCUGGAGCUCAUAGGUGGGAGAUAAAGUAUACAUACUCACAAGACAUUUAUUGUAUAUUCAAACCAUGGAUCCAAAGAAACAAGUCAAUAAGUCAAAUCAAGAUGUGCAUGUGUGGCGAAUGAAUGGCGUAUGGUGAUGAUGGUGAUAACAAUGGUGAAAGUCUAAUUCUAUUUUUGCUCCUUAAGGGGAUACAUACGUUCCUUGCUCUUUUUGAAACUUUUUGACGAGAAUGAGAUGCUCUAUAUUUUCUUUUUCUUUCCUCUUAGGUGGGUAUCUUGUACCUCCAAUUCUACUGUCGGACACUUGUCCAUUUUUACCUCUCGUCUCACUUUUUCUUUUCUUCCAGGUUUCGGGCACUUGCCCCUUUUUAUUUCCUCGUAUUUUUUCUCUUUUUUUAGAGCACUCAUCUCAUGAAAUAAUAUAGCAAGUGGUAGUAACCAAGAUAACUCGAGCAUUUAUUUCACAGGGGAAAAAUAAAUAUUUUUGGCUAUUCUCUCCCGGAUUAGGAGUAGAAUAUUUUUGGGUGGUUCUGGAGAUGGUAAUGAGUGGAUAUAUGUGGAUGGUACUUCCGGAGUAGAAGCAGCAUGUGUGAGUGAACGUGCAAGUGAAUCUUGAUUUUAACCACAUGACAAGCUCCUAAGGGUCUACACAGCUUGACCACACUCAAUGCUCAUAAGUACUAAAGUAAAUGUGUGGCUCAAAGUCUAGCAAGCAUGUAUAUAUGGAUGUGGUAGGAAUUUAGACUCUCAUCAUAUAGGAACUCAUCAUGCAAUAUUUAAAGAUUUUCAAAGAUAAUAUUCUUAAGAAUUCUAGCAUCUCUAGGAACAGAUAAACAACAGCUCAACUUGCCCAUAUCUUAUCCGUUAAGAACUUAGACAUCAGAUCAAGUUUUCUUCCCAGUUUAGGUUUAGAGCAAGCUUUAAAUUAUAACAGUUAUGUGUAAGCUUGAGAGAAAACUUAUAUUUGAAAAUUAGGCAGAGCAACUAUUCAUCAUAUCCAUGCUAUAUUUUUAUUAUUAAGAUUUAGUUUAGCAUAGCCACUUUAUUUAUUUAUUAAACACACUAAGCAAAAGAGAGAUAUAUAAGCACAAAAUCUUUAUUUGGUUUUCCAUAGUUAUGUAUUUUUAUAUUUUAGUAUAGUAUAAGUAUAAAGAUAGAUAGAAAUACUUAGCGGGAUAAAUGGGGGUGCUCUCCCCCAAGCUGAAUUUUGACGUAAUUUCUUCUGAUGUAGCUAGCAGGUGGCGAGGUGUAUUUGGAAGUCGGCAGUACCCUGACAGCGAUUAGAAUGUCCUCCGUCUGCUAGUCUUCUUGAUUCAUAAAUUUUGUGGAGCUCAAAUAGACAACAAAGCUUGUGGAACUAGUUAAGUGUUGGCAUAAAUAUCUAGCCUUUAUCAUGUUGAGCCUCCUCUAUAAAUGUUACUCUUUAUUUUUAUAUUUUCAUUUUAUAAAGCAGAAAAGAAAUAUUUAUUUUAUUUUUUAUGCCACCACAGUGAAUGUACUUAUGGGUUUUAUGCCACUCGUAUACUCACAUAGGGCUUACUAUUUUUAACAUUUUUAUUUUAUUUUAGGAUAGUAUGAACAUGAUUAACUAAGUAAACUAUUUUAAAUAAUUGAAAGUGAAAGGAUAACUACCAAGUUUACCUCUUGGCAAGGCGUUCGGUGUUUUUAAGUCCUCCGAACGGGACUCUCCGUUUUCUAGUUGUCCUGGGAUUCAUUGGAUGGCGGAGUCGGUGCUUCCAGCGGCGCCUCCUCUUCAUCUAUAGUUAACUUCUCUUUCCACACCUGACUCGGUGCUACGGUCUCCUCUAGAUAAUUUUGUUUAAACUGUAUGUCUUCUGACCUUAUCACUUCUCCUUCGUAGUCUGCCCAUCCGUCCUUGAUGAUUUCCCUCCUCUAGUUGUGGUUGCGUCGUUUUCUUCUUGUCCUGACCUGCUUAGAGUCUUCAACGAUAUAGUUAGGGUCAGUAAAAUAGCGGCGUACCUUCUCUGAGGGGAAGUGCAUAUGGACUUCUCCAGUUCCAAUGUAGAUGAUUGCUUUAACGGUGCUGAGGAAUGGUCUUCCAAGGAUGAUGGGUGGAUCAUACUCAUCUUCUCCCAUGUCAAUAACCUGAAAGUCUGUGUAGACAAAAUGAUCGUCUAUUUUGACAGGGACAUCAGUUAAUAUACCUUUAACCUCUCGAAAUGUCUGAUCUGCCAUCUGGAGCUAAAUGUAUGUUGGUUUUAAGGGCAUGGUUCCGAACAAGAGCCGAUAGGUGACUUUGGCCAUUAUGUUGACGCCUGAUCCGGUGUCGCAAGUCGUCUUGUAGAAGUUGUACCCAUUUAUGGAGCAAUAGAUGCUUAGCAUUCCUGGAUCGUCCUUCUUGGUCAGAAACGGUGACUUAAGUCGAUGAUCUUGACCUCCUUGAACUACAGUGACCAUCUUAGCUGACUCGGUCCACACUUGCUUGUUCCUGUUCCUCCUGUUGGUCCUUUUCCUUGAUUCAUGUCGAGAUUGCUCUGGGAUUUAUGUAGUCUUGUUCUUGAAGGAAAACAUCUCCUUCCUCCCUUUGAUGUAGAAACUGAUCUUGGCAGCACUAGCGUAGAUGACAACUCCUGAGGUGUUUAAGAAUGGCCUCCCUAGGAUGAUGGGUGCCCUCUCAUCAUUAUCAGUCUGUAUCACCACGAAGUCUGC
rnacentral:lncRNA from 1 species